GGAUCAUUUCGCAACACCUACGGCUUCCACUAGAUGUCAACGAUCUUUAUAAAGUUGUUUGAAGCGUCUAUGAUAAACAGAGAGCAAAUUAGAAUCCAAGGAAGUUGACAUGUCAUCACUUCAUUUUUUUGCGCCUGCGCAUAAAUCUGAGAAACGUGAGUUUUGUCUUCAUUGUUUAUCUAGACAUAAGGAUAGGUUGUGUGAAAAUAUUACUGAUGUUUAACGUUAAAAAUGGACCAAAAGAUUAAUGCUAAACAACAUUUGACAUGUUUGAACGAACAUAAAUAGAUUAUUUACUAGGUUUUUUUAGCUUUUCGGCGUGAUUUUACAGUCCCCCCACCACGUUUUGUGGGAGCAUAAUGAACGCUAAGUACUUGGUGUUAUUUGGACAUAAAUUAUGAACUUUGUCAAAAGAAACCACAUUUGUUCCGGACCUGGGAUGCCUUCCGGACCUGGGAUGCCUGCCUUCUGAUGGAGAUAAUCAAAGCAAUUGAGGAGUGGUAAGAUGGCAUGGAUUAACAGAUGCCACCUGCUAAGAUAGAAGUUGGUCGCCUUUGUAUUAUUGAAACGCAGACAGGGAAGGCAGUUAUGGGUGCAUCCCAUAAAAGGGGGCAUGGGCAAUACUACCACCUUGUCCAGGAGCUGCUCUUGGACCAUGCCUGACAUCACUGAUACAUCCGGAUGAGUGCAGAAGAGAUGGAGUCUUUUGUUGGCCCAGACCUCACCAAGCCGACGACCAACUACAGGACCCCAAUAGAGCCAAAGCAAAAACUAGCUGUCACUCUAAGGAGGGGAUUAUCAAUGUGACUGGGAUUCUUGGACCCAGCUCUCUUAAGAAAAUGUACUGAAGCUGUCAUCCCAGCUAUGUGUUGGAGACCUAAGUUCUGGUACUUGGCAUCUGGAGACUUUAUUUGCAGUCUGACCUUGACCUACCGUCUUGGAUUCGAGACAGUAUUGCAGUGCAUUAUGUAGACCUGUGAGGCCAUAGAGAGGAGGACCAUAGCGACCCAUCUGCCACGACCCACUGACGAAACCUGGAGACAAACUUCUCAAGAGUGUAAUGAAAAAUGGGACUUUCCCAAUUGUUUGGGAUUGGUUGAUGGAAAAUAUUAUGAUCACCAAACCACCAAACUCAGGAAGACGGUUUUUUUUUUUAUUAUAAAGGAACCUUCUCCGUGGUGCUACUCGCCCUUGUGGAUGCUAAAUACCACUUCACAGCUAUUGAGGUGGGGGAUUUUGGGAGAAACAGAGACGGCAGAGUAAAUAAAAAAAUUAAAAAAACAUCCUCUCACUGUCAACUGCGUUUUAUUUACAGCAAAAUUAACAUGUACAAAUAUUUGUAUUUACAUAAGAUUCAACAACUGAGACAAAAACUGAACAAAUUCCACAGACAUGUGACUAACAGAAAUGGAAUAAUGUGUCCCUGAACAAAGGG
rnacentral:lncRNA from 1 species